UGUUACUUAGCGAGGUGUGCUAGCGGUGUGGAGGAGCUUGCUUCUGCUGUCCUACCCAGAGUGUGAGGAGCUUAUAAACAGUUACUUUUAGUACAGGUUUUACCAGCUUCCUUGUAGAGGGUCUUGACGCUGGUUUCGUCCACACAUUUCUUUUUCAUACAACACAGAUGAUGAUGACGAGUUUGGUGCCAACUUAAAUUGAAGACCCUCAUGAAAGACAGGAAGUAGUGAAGAAUCUUCAAAGAUAGAAAUUAGAACGAUAUAUUCAGUGGUUGAAUAUGGCCGAGAUGGAGAAAGGUCAAAGUGACACAGACAGUGAAGAAUGUACACCAGCAAAUUGCAGGAGGAAAAGCAAU